rnacentral:lncRNA from 1 species
GGGUGUUAGAGAUCAUCACCCAGUCAGGGGUCAGGAAAGGAUGAAGCAGAGUGACUAUUUUCAGAAAUGUGCUGGCAUUUUGGAGACAAUUGAUGUUUGGGAACCCAGAGACCCACCCUGCUACACCCUCUGCUUGCAUUUGCAUAGACUGCUGAACCUGUUUGUGGAUCCCAUGAACCUGCUGCUGUGCACACCACCAGUCUGCUGGUCUCCAGACAGGGGCUCUGUGCCCCGGCACCUGGCCAGCUUGCCCUGAAAACCCUGAGAUGCUCAAGCCCCCUUCACAACAAAGGGGCCUAAGAGGCAGCAAGACCCUGAUUGUUGCGAUAAAGGGGAGAUGUCAGCACGCACCCCAGUGCAAGAACUGUUGUUUACCAGAAGUCGCAGUGAGAGCUUGUCAUGAAAUGAGCACAGACUUCACAGACAGCACUUCUCCGGUCCCACCUGACAGUCCUCCAGCGACCCAGAGCAGCUUCCUGGAGUAAUUACAGUUUGAGUCCUCCUGCCUGCACUCCUUUUCAGCUGCUCGCUUGCUCGCUCAGAGGAUUGACGGACAGAAGGAGGCCUGCUGCUGUUGCUGCUUAAGACUUGCUGCUUCUCUACUUUGCUGCUUGCUGCCUUCUCCUUGGCAUGAACUGUUUCGCCUCUGUGAUGCCCCUCUGCCAUGCUACCGUGCCUUGAAGCCAGCCAACUAUGAACUGAAGCCUCUACAAACUGUGAGAAUUAACGUUCCAGGCCUACAGAAAGAUUUGUUCAGAUCUUUACAAGGAAUAUGAAGACAGCCCCUUUGGAUGGAAGUCUUCAGUGAAACUGAUUUGUGCUCCAGGCUCCAGAAGAGGCAGGAAUCUGGGUGCUCUGGCUGUGAAGGUUCCACAUCCCCAGCACCUGCAGCACUGCAAGAGCCUCUCUACCAACACAGGCAGAUUCUUUGGAGAACAUAUAUGUCAAAUGCCUCUUAAUCCAGUCCCACAGCUAGCGAAACCAGUAGGGCUCCCACCAGAUUUCCUGUGAAUUAGAGGAGAAUGAAAAGCCAAGUUGAAAACAUCACCACCAUUGAGACCAUGAUAAGAUGGCACCAUCAUGAGGUAGGAGCCAGUUUCCAACGGGGCCUUUGCUGUGGAGAGAGACCUUGUUCCAAGCCAAUACCUGAGCUUCUGCCAGUCCAACCAAAUGCACUGAAGGAAUGGGAUGAGGGAUUCAGGAAAGCAAAGCUGACAGAUGGCAAUUUGUGAAGAGUUGAAUCAACGUAAAUUAUAUCUCAUCAGUGAGCAGAGAGAAGGGAGGACGUGUUCCAAGGUUGGGCAAAUGACUGAGAGGCGAG